CAGUUUUCAUGCUACCAAUGCCUUACUCGAGUAGCAUGGGGGACAAUACGUUACCAUGAACCAGCCCUCAAUUUUAUGGGCUGGAACUUUCCAAGAUUAUCCGCUUGUUGGGCUACAGUUGAUGCUUUCUUUGUAUAAUAACAAACCAAAUGGGAUACUGGCAGAUGCUUGGCAAGAUUGCACAGGUCAUGGCAUUGAUAGCUUAUUUAAUGGGAGUUGAAGGGGAAUUGUGGAGCCCAUCUUAUACUUGUUCGCAGUGCUGUUAUGGUUAAUUGGAAGGUGCUAUUAUGCUACCUUGCUUCUGCUUUUGUAAGUGAGUUCUAAGCUAUUAAACAAGAAUGCGUGAGUCCUGCUCAAAGAAGGAAGUUGUUGCUACACAGAUUCCAAGAGAAGAAUUUGAAAAUAUAACUUUUGGAGAGAAUGGAAUGCAAAAUUAGAAGAGCACAAGCUUGAAAAAGUGGUUCACACAGCAUUUGCGGCCCACCAGAUGCCUAGACUGCCCUAAUUUUCAGGCCAUGGGACACCACCUGAACUUCCUGGAUCUUACAUAGCAUGGGAGAAUGAUUUGAAAUCCUACUCAUGUGUUGGCAUUGGAUUUACUUAAGCUCUCCUUCUAUGAUGACUUUCUUAAAUUUAUUUAUUAGUGUAUGUAUGCAGUGGGCCCCAUAGUGGCGAGGCCCCACCACUGACGUGAUCUCUCUCUCUCUCUCUCUCUCUCUCUCUCUCUGUUUCAAUCCUUGCCCAUCUCUUUCUCUAAAAUAUAGGGCCCACAAAGUGGGCCAUGAUGAGAGACAACAUGCACCCCACCUUGUGGGGUCCACCAUGAAUUUUUAUAUCAUCUGACCUAUUUAUUAGGUGACUCAGAUUUGGAAGAAGAGAAAGUACAUAUGUCAACAUGAUCAAGAACUUCUGUGGGCCCACAUCGUGGGGGCCACCAUAAUGUUAUUUGUUAUUGUUCCCAGAUACCUGGAUGAAUAGAAAACAUAGAUAUCAACUUGGUUCUCAAAUUCUGUGGGCCCCAAAUUUUGUCAAAAAACUGUGGGAUC